UAACACGUAUCCAACCUGCCGUCUACUCUUGGACAGCCUUCUGAAAGGAAGAUUAAUACAAGAUGGCAUCAUGAGUUCACAUGUUCACAUGAUUAAAGGUAUUCCGGUAGACGAUGGGGAUGCGUUCCAUUAGAUAGUAGGCGGGGUAACGGCCCACCUAGUCUUCGAUGGAUAGGGGUUCUGAGAGGAAGGUCCCCCACAUUGGAACUGAGACACGGUCCAAACUCCUACGGGAGGCAGCAGUGAGGAAUAUUGGUCAAUGGGCGAGAGCCUGAACCAGCCAAGUAGCGUGAAGGAUGACUGCCCUAUGGGUUGUAAACUUCUUUUAUAAAGGAAUAAAGUCGGGUAUGCAUACCCGUUUGCAUGUACUUUAUGAAUAAGGAUCGGCUAACUCCGUGCCAGCAGCCGCGGUAAUACGGAGGAUCCGAGCGUUAUCCGGAUUUAUUGGGUUUAAAGGGAGCGUAGAUGGAUGUUUAAGUCAGUUGUGAAAGUUUGCGGCUCAACCGUAAAAUUGCAGUUGAUACUGGAUAUCUUGAGUGCAGUUGAGGCAGGCGGAAUUCGUGGUGUAGCGGUGAAACGCUUAGAUAUCACGAAGAACUCCGAUUGCGAAGGCAGCCUGCUAAGCUGCAACUGACAUUGAGGCUCGAAAGUGUGGGUAUCAAACAGGAUUAGAUACCCUGGUAGUCCACACGGUAAACGAUGA
rnacentral:rRNA from 1 species